CAAACUGGAGAUGGCGACCGGCGCACGGGUGAGUAACACGUAUCCAACCUGCCGAUAACUCGGGGAUAGCCUUUCGAAAGAAAGAUUAAUACCCGAUGGUAUAAUUAGACCGCAUGGUCUUGUUAUUAAAGAAUUUCGGUUAUCGACGGGGAUGCGUUCCAUUAGGCAGUUGGUGAGGUAACGGCUCACCAAACCUUCGAUGGAUAGGGGUUCUGAGAGGAAGGUCCCCCACAUUGGAACUGAGACACGGUCCAA
rnacentral:rRNA from 1 species